AUUUAUAGAGUUUUAAAUAAAAUAUUAUACUUUCAAUAUAAAGUUAUUAAUAAAUA
rnacentral:tRNA from 1 species